rnacentral:rRNA from 1 species
AGAGGGUGCAAGCGUUAAUCGGAAUUACUGGGCGUAAAGCGCGCGUAGGUGGUUAGUUAAGUUGGAUGUGAAAUCCCCGGGCUCAACCUGGGAACUGCAUUCAAAACUGACUGACUAGAGUAUGGUAGAGGGUGGUGGAAUUUCCUGUGUAGCGGUGAAAUGCGUAGAUAUAGGAAGGAACACCAGUGGCGAAGGCGACCACCUGGACUGAUACUGACACUGAGGUGCGAAAGCGUGGGGAGCAAACAGGGAUUAGAUACCCUGGUAGUCCACGCCGUAAACGAUGUCAACUAGCCCGUUGGGAGCCUUGAGCUCUUAGUGGCGCAGCUAACGCAUUAAGUUGACCGCCUGGGAGUACGGCCGCAAGGUUA